rnacentral:pre_miRNA from 1 species
CAAAUACUUCCUCCGUUCCAAAUUACUUGUCUUAGAAAUUGAUGUAUCUAGAACUAAAAUACAUUUAGAUACAUCCAUACUUACGACAAGUAAUUCGGAACGGAGGGAGUAGUUC